CAGUAGCCGCGGUAACACGUAGGGUGCAAGCGUUAAUCGGAAUUACUGGGCGUAAAGCGUGCGCAGGCGGUUCGCUAAGACAGAUGUGAAAUCCCCGGGCUUAACCUGGGAACUGCAUUUGUGACUGGCGGGCUAGAGUAUGGCAGAGGGGGGUAGAAUUCCACGUGUAGCAGUGAAAUGCGUAGAGAUGUGGAGGAAUACCGAUGGCGAAGGCAGCCCCCUGGGCCAAUACUGACGCUCAUGCACGAAAGCGUGGGGAGCAAACAGGAUUAGAUACCCCUGUAGUCCCUGUCUCUUAUAC
rnacentral:rRNA from 1 species